UGCCUUGGUUAGGAGUCAGAACCAGAAUGUUACACCUGCACUAAUUUCCAUCAUCCGUCCCCAAAUGCUUUAUAGUGAUUGAAUGCAGGUUGGGUCGUUGUAAUUCAAUAGGGACAAUCAAUUCAAUGAGGGUGGCUUCUAUAUCGUGACAGUUUGUAGUUAGUCAUUCUAUCAGAUAUCUAUGCGUUAUUUUAAAUGUUUUAUUGAAAGACAUCUCAAAUGGCACCCUGUUCCCAUAGGGCUCUCGUCAAAAGGAGUGCCCUACAUAGGGAAUAGGAUAGCAUGUGGGACUCAACCAAAACUAAAACUUCUGUUUCUGAUUGACCCCUGACUCCCUGCCAUGUCAGUGGUCCUGAUGCUGUUUGCCGCCUUCAGUCUCCUGAUGCAUCUCUUCAAGAUGGGUUACUAUGUCAUGAUGAAGGAGUGUAAGCCGGUUGCUAAAGUCCUUGCCCCCUUCAUCGAGGCUCCCUUUCUUGGCCUACAGACCUAUUUGCUCUGGGCUCACUCCAAAGACUGUAUUCACAAGCACAAGAUCAUUACCAGGUGCAUGCCUCUCAAUUUCAUUUACAAAAACAUUUACCAUCAUCUUGUUGUUAUUGGAGAGAUCUAUGGUAUUUGCAUUGACUAAAGGAACCAAUAGGGACCUAUACAUUACAAAGCAAACAGGUAAUAAUGGGAUUGCUGGUGUUUGUGAACGCUUCAACCCCUUUGUUGCUUAUUGUGUGAUUUUAUGUGUUUAUUUGUAGCUUAUUGUUAUGCAAUUUUCUGUCUUUAUUUCAGAGUGAAUCAUCCAUACAUCUCAUUUCAUAUUGUCAUG
rnacentral:lncRNA from 1 species